UCAGUUUAAUGGUAAAGUGUUAAAUUUUAUCUUCAAUGGCUAUCCAAGAGUUAUGAAUGGUUAUGAGCUAUUGGGACUGUAAUCUUAAGGAUGAAAGUUCAUCAAUCAAUAAAAUAUUCCACUGGGGAGAUAAAUCAGUUGUAAUGUUUGAUAUGCGUGAUUGUAUGAUGCAAUGCAUGGCUAUUUAUUUAUGAUGCGUAUGCCAUGCAAUAUUGGAUAGCAAUGUAAGGUUGGUUUGAUGAGAGAUAGACUUCGACUCGUCGAUAUCCACAUCGGAGAAUUGGAAGGAAGAGCUUCCAAGUUACCAACGUUGCUGGUGAAAAUCCUGCUGGCUGAGGACUACUAUUUGACUCCGUUUGAGGAAAAGCAGUGUAUAACCUAUAUGAGCAGUAGUUGACAUACAAUCGUAUGGCAAGUGUUUUAUUGUAGACCAUUGAUAAUCCGCUGGGACAUUUUCAGCAAUCAAAGUAAUGCAUACCGUUUUUCUCUUUUGAAUUGGCUUUUUAUUGUUCUCAAAGUUUUAUGGCAUUAUGCAAUCAAGAUUGGCAGUUGUUUUGCAAAAAAAUGCAGAAAAACUAAAAAAAUGAGAAUUUACUAAAUAACGACUGAAUUUUAUUGAUAGUGGAAAAUUUGUACAUGUAGAGUGUGUACAAGGAUGCAAAAAAUCCUUAAAGACGAAAUUGUAAAAAAAUGAAAAAACAAAUUAAAUGGCAAAGGGAAAUUUGUUUUGACA
rnacentral:lncRNA from 1 species